GGCGGGAUAGUGUAGCGGCAUCAUCAACGCUUUGGGAGCGUUGGACGGCGGUUCGAAUCCGCCUCCUGCCA
rnacentral:tRNA from 1 species